AGGAUCAUUACAGAGUUCGUGCCCUCACGGGUAGACCUCCCACCCUUGAUAUCUAUUCUCUUGUUGCUUUGGCGGGACGCUUCUUGCCACGCGCCCCGGCGCGUGUGUGCCCGCCAGAGACCCAACCAACUCUUGUUUAUGUGUCGUCUGAGUACUAUAUAAUAGUUAAAACUUUCAACAACGGAUCUCUUGGUUCUGGCAUCGAUGAAGAACGCAGCGAAAUGCGAUAAGUAAUGUGAAUUGCAGAAUUCAGUGAAUCAUCGAAUCUUUGAACGCACAUUGCGCCCCUUGGUAUUCCGGGGGGCAUGCCUGUUCGAGCGUCAUUAACACCACUCAAGCCUGGCUUGGUAUUGGGGUACGCCCACCCGCGGCCCCUAAACGCAGUGGCGGUGCCGGUUGGCUCUUCGCGUAGUAAUUCUCUCGCGAUAGGGUUCGUCGGUGGCUUGCCAGCAACCCAUACUUCUAAGGUUGACCUCGGAUCAGGUAGGGAUACCCGCUGAACUUAAGCAUAUCAAUAAGCGGAGGAAAAGAAACCAACAGGGAUUACCUCAGUAACGGCGAGUGAAGCGGUAACAGCUCAAAUUUGAAAUCUGGCUCUUUCAGGGUCCGAGUUGUAAUUUGUAGAAGAUGCUUCGAGUAUUGGCCCGGUCUAAGUUCCUUGG
rnacentral:rRNA from 1 species